UACAGAGGUCCCAAGCGUUGUUCGGAUUCACUGGGCGUAAAGGGUGCGUAGGCGGUCGGGUAAGUCUGAUGUGAAAUCUCACAGCUUAACUGUGAAACUGCAUUGGAUACUAUUCGGCUAGAGAGUUGGAGGGGGGACUGGAAUUCUUGGUGUAGCAGUGAAAUGCGUAGAUAUCAAGAGGAACACCAGUGGCGAAGGCGAGUCCCUGGACAACUCUGACGCUGAGGCACGAAAGCUAGGGGAGCAAACAGG
rnacentral:rRNA from 1 species